GAUGAACGCUAGCGGCAGGCUUAAUACAUGCAAGUCAAACGGUUGUAGCAAUACAAUAGUGGCGCACGGGUGAGUAACGCGUACAUAACUUGCCUCAUAUUGGGGGAUAGCUUUGGGAAACUGGAGGUAAUACCGCAUAUUAUUAGGAGAUGGCAUCAUUUUUUAAUAAAAGCUACGGCGAUAUGAGAUAGGUGUGCGUGCCAUUAGGUAGUUGGUAAGGUAACGGCUUACCAAGCCUACGAUGGCUAGGGGCGUGAGAGCGUGACCCCCACAUGGACACUGAGACACGGGUCCAACUCCUACGGGAGGCAGCAGUAAGGAAUAUUGGUCAAUGGACGCAAGUCUGAACCAGCCAUGCGCGUGAAGGAAUAAGGUUCCUCU
rnacentral:rRNA from 1 species